GGUGGACAAGCUUCAUUUACACGAUAUCUGGAGAUGUGUAUAUUGGGCCCGAUGAUGCACAACAAAAAAUAGAACCUCAUCACACAGCAGUGCUUGGAGAAGGUGACAGUGUCCAGGUGGAGAACAAGGAUCCCAAGAGAAGCCACUUUGUCUUAAUUGCUGGGGAGCCAUUAAGAGAACCAGUUGUCCAACAUGGUAAGACCAAAAUGACAAUGAUUUUCUUGGUUGAUUUUCCUUUUCUUUGAAAACAGUAUACAUGUAUACUAUUGUUGGGAAGAAUAGCUGGGUUUUUUUGUCCUGUCUCUCCAUCUAUAAAUCUGAGGAUUGUUUAAUUUUUCUGUCAUCAGAGGGAAAUAUAUAUGUGAUGUUUAUUCAUCUCUUCUUUUUUAAAGAAACAUUUCUUAGAUACCUAUUAUG
rnacentral:sRNA from 1 species